rnacentral:rRNA from 1 species
GUGUCAGCAGCCGCGGUAAUACGUAGGUGGCAAGCGUUGUCCGGAUUUAUUGGGCGUAAAGCGCGCGCAGGCGGCUAUGUAAGUCUGGUGUUAAAGCCCGGAGCUCAACUCCGGUUCGCAUCGGAAACUGUGUAGCUUGAGUGCAGAAGAGGAAAGCGGUAUUCCACGUGUAGCGGUGAAAUGCGUAGAGAUGUGGAGGAACACCAGUGGCGAAGGCGGCUUUCUGGUCUGUAACUGACGCUGAGGCGCGAAAGCGUGGGGAGCAAACAGGAUUAGAAACCCCCGUAGUCC